GUUCCAUUCGUCUAGUGGUCAAGGAUAGCGGCCCUUCAAGCCGUCAGACAUCGGUUCGAAUCCGAUAUGAAAUACCA
rnacentral:tRNA from 1 species